rnacentral:piRNA from 1 species
UGCCUUCCAAACACCUUGGUUCUCACAG